CGUAGUAACGUAUGAUAAGCUACUUAAUUAUUUUUAAAGAAUUACAAGUGCAAUAGACGAAAAUGAGAUAGAAAGGAAAUGUAACCACAUUGCCUUUCUCGCCAUUUACAUUUCAGAAACAUGAUGACAUUCCUUGUAGCUGUUUUGGUAGCCGUCCUCCUGGCCGCUCAAGCUUUAUCUGAAGAAGACUGGAUCAAGCAACCCCGGGAUGUUAAUAACAACGAGGAGGUGGCCAGCAAUGAGUCGACUGGGUCGGAACAUCAGAUGGAUAAUUCUGGCAGUUUCAACACAAUCUUUGUAUCACUGAUGUUGGCAUCACUCGUUGUGGCUCGCCUGGCUCGUCGUUAGUCGGCAGAUAAAGGAUGAAGAACGGAUAUUCCAACUACACAAGUGAGAAUACAUUAAAAUGCUAUCAACUCUUUAAAAAGACACUAAAUAUUGUAUUCGGAUCAUUCCAAUUAAUGUUAUUUGUUUUACUUUCUAUGACAAUUCAAUUCAUACGAACCACUGAAGUGUGUAUGCGGGAGGUUCGCGCUAGCGACAAUGGUGUAGUUAAGAAUCACUGGUUACAACUUGAAACGGUAUUCUACUGAGAAUACGAUAUUCAGGGAUUUUUGAGUUGAAGCACAAAUCACGAUCAGUUCGGAUAUUUUCUCACAUUUUUCGUAGCUUUUACUAUCAACAGGUAAGGAGCAGAAAGUGAUUAUAAAGAAAACGGCGACCAAGCACA